rnacentral:rRNA from 1 species
AGUGAACGCUGGCGGUAGGCCUAACACAUGCAAGUCGAACGGCAGCACAGUAAGAGCUUGCUCUUACGGGUGGCGAGUGGCGGACGGGUGAGGAAUACAUCGGAAUCUACUUUUUCGUGGGGGAUAACGUAGGGAAACUUACGCUAAUACCGCAUACGACCUACGGGUGAAAGCAGGGGAUCUUCGGACCUUGCGCGAUUGAAUGAGCCGAUGUCGGAUUAGCUAGUUGGCGGGGUAAAGGCCCACCAAGGCGACGAUCCGUAGCUGGUCUGAGAGGAUGAUCAGCCACACUGGAACUGAGACACGGUCCAGACCCCUACGGGAGGCAGCAGUGGGGAAUAUUGGACAAUGGGCGCAAGCCUGAUCCAGCUAUACCGCGUGGGUGAAGAAGGCCUUCGGGUUGUAAAGCCCUUUUGUUGGGAAAGAAAAGCAGCAGGUUAAUACCCCGCUGUUCUGACGGUACCCAAAGAAUAAGCACCGGCUAACUUCGUG